rnacentral:ncRNA from 21 species
UGUUUACAGGGGAAUGAGGUUCUCCCUUAGUGUCAUACUAAAACCGCUUAUUUAAGCUGAUGACUUCUGUGUGAUU